ensembl:snRNA U6 U6 spliceosomal RNA
GUGCUCGCUUUGGUAGCACCUAUUCUAAAAUUGGAAUAAAACAGAGACGAUUAACAUGGUCCCUGGGCAAGGGUGACACAGAAAUUCGUAGGAAUAUUGUUAUU